UUCCGGUUGAUCCCGCCGGAGGCGACCGCUUUGGGAGUUCGAUUAAGCCAUGCGAGUCGUGAGUCUUAGGGACUCGGCAUACUGCUCAGUAACACGUGGAUAACCUGCCCUAUCGUCUGGAAUAACCUCGGGAAACUGAGAAUAAGGCCGGAUAGUUCACAAUGCCUGGAACGGUUUGUGAAUCAAGGUAGGAUGGGUCUGCGGCGUAUCAGGUUGUAGGGGGUGUAAAGGACCCCCUAGCCUUCGACGCGUACGGGUGUUGGGAGACAUAGCCCGGAGAUGGAUUCUGAGACACGAAUCCAGACCCUACGGGGUGCAGCAGGCGCGAAAACUUCACACUGCAGGAAACUGUGAUGAGGGAACUCCUAGUGCAUGCACUAUGUGUAUGUAGAUCCUACUCUUAACAAGUAGAGGGAAAGGGCUGGGAAAGACCGGUGCCAGCCGCCGCGGUAAUACCGGCAGCUCAAGUGGUCGUCGCUUUUAUUGGGCCUAAAACGUCCGUAGCCUGUUUGGUAAAUCUGUGGGUAAAUCAAUCCGCUCAACGGAUUGAAUUCUGCAGAGACUGCCAGACUAGGGACCGGGAGAGGUGUGGGGCACUCGAGGGGUAGGGGUAAAAUCCUGUCAUCCUUCGAGGACCACCAGUUGCGAAGGCGCCACACUGGAACGGAUCCGACGGUCAGGGACGAAGCCUAGGGGCACGAACCGGAUUAGAUACCCGGGUAGUCCUAGGUGUAAACGCUGUGAACUUGGUGUCGGGGGUCCGCAAGGGGUCCCCGGUGCCGGAGUGAAGAUGUUAAGUUCACUGCCUGGGGAGUACGGUCGCAAGGCUGAAACUUAAAGGAAUUGGCGGGGCAGCAC
rnacentral:rRNA from 1 species